rnacentral:rRNA from 1 species
UACAGAGGGGGCAAGCGUUGUUCGGAAUUACUGGGCGUAAAGGGCGCGUAGGCGGCCUGCUAAGUCGAACGUGAAAUCCCCGGGCUCAACCCGGGAACUGCGUCCGAUACUGGUUGGCUUGAAUCCGGGAGAGGGAUGCGGAAUUCCAGGUGUAGCGGUGAAAUGCGUAGAUAUCUGGAGGAACACCGGUGGCGAAGGCGGCAUUCUGGACCGAUAUUGACGCUGAGGAGCGAAAGCCAGGGGAGCAAACGGG